rnacentral:rRNA from 1 species
CCUACGGGAGGCAGCAGUGGGGAAUAUUGCACAAUGGGGGAAACCCUGAUGCAGCGACGCCGCGUGAGCGAAGAAGUAAUUCGGUAUGUAAAGCUCUAUCAGCAGGGAAGAAAAUGACGGUACCUGACUAAGAAGCCCCGGCUAACUACGUGCCAGCAGCCGCGGUAAUACGUAGGGGGCAAGCGUUAUCCGGAUUUACUGGGUGUAAAGGGAGCGUAGACGGGCAUGCAAGUCAGGUGUGAAAGGCGGGGGCUCAACCCCGGGACUGCCUUUGAAACUGUACGGCUGGAGUGUCGGAGAGGUAAGCGGAAUUCCUAGUGUAGCGGUGAAAUGCGUAGAUAUUAGGAGGAACACCAGUGGCGAAGGCGGCCUACUGGACGGUAACUGACGUUGAGGCUCGAAAGCGUGGGGAGCAAACAGGAUUAGAUACCCGUGUAGUC